rnacentral:tRNA from 1 species
GGGCUCGUGGUCUAGGUGGUUAUGACGUCGCCUUCACACGGCGGAGGUCUGGGGUUCGAAUCCCUACGAGCCCA